rnacentral:rRNA from 1 species
UACGAAGGGGGCUAGCGUUGCUCGGAAUCACUGGGCGUAAAGGGUGCGUAGGCGGGUUUUUAAGUCAGAGGUGAAAUCCUGGAGCUCAACUCCAGAACUGCCUUUGAUACUGAAAGUCUUGAGUACGGGAGAGGUGGGUGGAACUGCGAGUGUAGAGGUGAAAUUCGUAGAUAUUCGCAAGAACACCAGUGGCGAAGGCGGCUCACUGGCCCGUAACUGACGUUGAGGCACGAAAGCGUGGGGAGCAAACAGG